rnacentral:sRNA from 1 species
AGAUGCUUCUGGGUCGCGGUGUGCUGAGCUAGGAGUCCGAGUGUGUGAGCUUGAGAGCCGCGCGCUAGGGCGACCCGGCGAGGGAUGGCGGCCACCGGGACCGCGGCUGCCGCAGCCACGGGCAGGCUCCUGCUUCUGCUGCUGGUGGGGCUCACGGCGCCUGCCUCGGCGCUGGCCGGCUACAUCGAGGCUCUUGCAGCCAAUGCCGGAACAGGAUUUGCUGUUGCUGAGCCUCAAAUCGCAAUGUUUUGUGGGAAGUUAAAUAUGCAUGUGAACAUUCAGACCGGGAAAUGGGAACCUGAUCCAACAGGCACCAAGAGCUGCUUUGAAACAAAAGAAGAAGUUCUUCAGUACUGUCAGGAGGUAAGAGUGUUGAUCUGUUAUUUUUCUGGGGCAGGGUUGAAUCUGUUAACCUUAGAAAUAGGUAUUCUGUCAUUCUCUUUUGACCUAAGACCAAGAUGCUAAUGACCAGGGCCCCAAGCCUUUUGUUUCUAAAUGUGUGGUAUGACUGAGACCUCUCAAAGGCUUUGCCUGCGUGUUCUGUGAGCUCUCAGUUCUUUAAGGAAGGGAUA